rnacentral:lncRNA from 1 species
AUCUGGUCUUCAAAUGUAAUUUGGCCCAUUGUAUGUUUAAAACUUUGGGGUUUAAAUCAAGAGAUUCACAAAGAACCUGGAUUACUGGUGGAAGAUUGAUGACACUUUGGCCUAUGUUCCUGUAGGGCAAUAAUGAAUGAGAGCUGAGGUGAGGCACAGCCCUCAGUGUACUGCAGUUUCCCUGCUGCUCAGACCAUUCACCAUUUACUUUUCCAGAGGCACUUUCUCCUUGCCAGCACAUGUACACUGUUAUUUUCUUAUACUUCUCUGUGCCCAUGUCUGUCAAUAGUAGGAAAGACAAGAUGAAGAAAAAUUGGAGAAAGAUUUUUUUUGUGUGUGUGGGGGGAGUGAAGAAUAGUUCUAUUUGUUUAAUAUAAAACAUGCAAGAGUUUCUUUAUUUUCUAUCAUUUUAUUGGCCCAAAUAAAAUUUUGAUUAUUUGACCCAUUUUUGGUCCGUUACACUGGUCACCAAUGGGAUCGCUCUAGAUUUUCAGGGAAACCUGAUAUGUGAAAAUCCUGACCUCAGAUUGUUCAAUCUUCUGAUUUCUUGUACACUGGUCUCUGCAUGUUCUAAUCCAUUGGAAGGGAAAAGGCCCUUCACACUUAAUAGAAUCUCCCAGAAGGGAGGAGGAGCAGACUAGGAGGGGUCAAGGAAAGCAAAAAAGAUGGAGCAGUCUCAUUUUCUUUCCUCCCACAUGUGACUACUUUUUAGAACCUUAUCACAUUCUGCCUUGAGUUUCUGUUAAUUGAGGGCAGGGACCACUUAUUUAACACAGCU